rnacentral:rRNA from 1 species
GAUGAACGCUGGCGGCGUGCCUAAUACAUGCAAGUCGAGCGAACAGAUGAGAAGCUUGCUUCUCUGAUGUUAGCGGCGGACGGGUGAGUAACACGUGGGUAACCUACCUAUAAGACUGGGAUAACUCCGGGAAACCGGGGCUAAUACCGGAUAAUAUUCUGAACCGCAUGGUUCAAUAGUGAAAGACGGUUUCGGCUGUCACUUAUAGAUGGACCCGCGCCGUAUUAGCCAGUUGGUAAGGUAACGGCUUACCAAGGCGACGAUACGUAGCCGAGCUGAGAGGGUGAUCGGCCACACUGGAACUGAGACACGGUCCAGACUCCUACGGGAGGCAGCAGUAGGGAAUCUACCGCAAUGGGCGAAAGCCUGACGGAGCAACGCCGCGUGAGUGAUGAAGGUCUUCGGAUCGUAAAACUCUGUUGUUAGGGAAGAACAAAUUUGUUAGUAACUGAACAAGUCUUGACGGUACCUAACCAGAAAGCCACGGCUAACUACGUGCCAGCCGCCGCUGUAA